rnacentral:rRNA from 1 species
AGGACGAACGCUGGCGGUGUGCUUCACACAUGCAAGUCGAACGAGGUAGCAAUACCUAGUGGCGGACGGGUGAGUAACGCGUGGGAAUCUGCCUGAGAUGGGGGAUAGCUAGCCGAAAGGCUAAUUAAUACCGCAUAUGUAUAUAUUUCGACAGUUUUAUAUAUAAAAGUAGCAAUACGUCUUUAGAUGAGCCCGCGCCCGAUUAGCUAGUUGGCGGGGUAACGCCCACCAAGGCUUCGAUCGGUA